rnacentral:lncRNA from 1 species
AUUCCAAUGGCUUUGGCUACUCUAACCUUCCCGACCACGAUUUUUUCUUCUUUUUUUUAGGUAUUCACUGCGAAAUAAGAAAGAAAUAAAAAAUUGUAUUUUCCUAGGUAUCAAAAAUCUAGUAAAUAAAAGAAAUCAAAAAAUAAAUAGUGGGUUCCUUCGUUUCUAUGAUUACUUCUUAAACGGCGAGGUCUUCUCUAUACACCGGAGCCUU